rnacentral:rRNA from 1 species
UGGGGAAUAUUGCACAAUGGGCGCAAGCCUGAUGCAGCCAUGCCGCGUGUGUGAAGAAGGCCUUCGGGUUGUAAAGCACUUUCAGCGGGGAGGAAGGCGAUAAGGUUAAUAACCUUGUCGAUUGACGUUACCCGCAGAAGAAGCACCGGCUAACUCCGUGCCAGCAGCCGCGGUAAUACGGAGGGUGCAAGCGUUAAUCGGAAUUACUGGGCGUAAAGCGCACGCAGGCGGUCUGUCAAGUCGGAUGUGAAAUCCCCGGGCUCAACCUGGGAACUGCAUUCGAAACUGGCAGGCUAGAGUCUUGUAGAGGGGGGUAGAAUUCCAGGUGUAGCGAUGAAAUGCGUAGAGAUCUGGAGGAAUACCGGUGGCGAAGGCGGCCCUCUGGACAAAGACUGACGCUCAGGUGCGAAAGCGUGGGGAGCAAACAGG